AGAAUCUCCAGGUUUUUUUUUUUUCUCUCUCUUCUCUUUCUUCUUUCUUUCAUUCUUUCUUCUUGCUUUUCUACUGUUUCUUGAAGAUAUGAUUUGGGUGGAUUUUUUUCCUGCUUCUUGAAGAAGUGAUAUGCUCCUCUGCCUUUUUGUUCCUUCGUUGAUUCUCACUUUUUUUUUUUCUUCUUUUUCUUUUGUUGAGUAACUUUUUUUUUCUUAGAGUCCAAUCCAAGGUUGUCGCAUGCAUCAGUGCCAAGCGUUUAAAGAUGGUAAUCAGCUGGUGAUUUAAAUGGGCUGCUAGCUUAAAUGGCUAUGGUUAUAAUUUUUUAUGUAUUUUUAAUUUUAUUUUUUAUAAAUUAAAUAUUAAAUAAAUUAUUUUUAUAUUAAAUACAUAAUUGUUUAUAAUAUAUUUAUAAAAUCUAAUUUAAAUAAUUUUAAAUUAUGUAUAGUAAAAUAUUAUUAAAUUAAAUAUACAGUAAAAAUAUUAAAAAUUAAAACUUUGAUACAAUUAAAAAUAAAUUAAUAUAAUACAUUUUAAUGAUAAUUUUAUUCACAUAUGUAGUUCAACAAUGCAUACUUCUUUUCGGAUUUAAUACUGCUUCUUAUAAUUCUUUUUAAUACUGCUUCUUAUAAUUCUUUGUUUUUAAUUCUCUUCUUUUUCUUCUUUGUAUAUUAAAUUAUUGACAUUAUGGGUAUCUUUAUUUUAAUAAAAAAAAAGGAAAAAAUGAAAGGGAUUUCUUCUUCUCCUUUAUUUCUUUGUCUUCUCCUUCUCCUCCUUCUCUUUGUGCAUUGAAAUGAAAUUGCUUAACCUAUCACCCAGAUUGCACUCCCAAGCGAUUUGAAACAUGCUAGCUAGAUCUUGAAAUCUAUCACCCCGAUCGAGCUCCCAAGCGAUUUGAAACAUGCUA
rnacentral:misc_RNA from 1 species